UCCAAAGAGAAUAAAGAGGGCAGACUGGU
rnacentral:piRNA from 1 species